rnacentral:rRNA from 1 species
AGCAGCCGCGGUAAUUCCAGCUCCAAUAGCGUAUAUUAAAGUUGUUGCAGUUAAAAAGCUCGUAGUUGAAUUUCGGGAUCGACGGGUCGGUCGCGCCUCCGGUGUGUACUGGCCUGGUCGGUUCCUCCCUUCUGAAGAACCGCGAUGUCAUUAAUUUGGUGUCGUGGGGAAUCAGGACUGUUACUUUGAAAAAAUUAGAGUGUUUAAAGCAGGCAUUCGCUUGAAUACAUUAGCAUGGAAUAAUGAAAUAGGACGUUUGACCUUAUUUUGUUGGUUUCUAAGGUCGACGUAAUGAUUAAUAGGGAUAGUUGGGGGCAUUAGUAUUCAAUUGUCAGAGGUGAAAUUCUUGGAUUUAUUGAAGACUAACUACUGCGAAAGCAUUUGCCAAGGAUGUUUUCAUUAAUCAAGAACGAAAGUUAGGGGAUCGAAGACGAUCAGAUACCGUCGUAGUCUUAACCAUAAACUAAUGCCGACUAGGGAUCGGAUGAUGUUGAUUUUUUAAUGACUCAUUCGGCGCCUU